AGAGUUGAUCAUGGCUCAGGAUGAACGCUAGCGACAGGCCUAACACAUGCAAGUCGGGGGGCAGCGCGGAGUAGCAAUACUUGGCGGCGACCGGCGCACGGGUGAGUAACACGUAUGCAACCAACCCAUAACAGGGGGAUAACCCGGAGAAAUCCGGACUAAUACCGCAUAAGACCACGAUAUCGCAUGAUAUAGAGGUCAAAUAUUUAUAGGUUAUGGACGGGCAUGCGUCUGAUUAGCUGGUUGGCGGGGUAACGGCCCACCAAGGCAUCGAUCAGUAGGGGUUCUGAGAGGAAGGUCCCCCACAUUGGAACUGAGACACGGUCCAAACUCCUACGGGAGGCAGCAGUGAGGAAUAUUGGUCAAUGGGCGAAAGCCUGAACCAGCCAUGUCGCGUGAAGGAAUGAAGGUCCUAUGGAUUGUAAACUUCUUUUGCAGGAGGGUAAAGUGAGCUACGUGUAGUUCAUUGCAAGUACCCUGCGAAUAAGCAUCGGCUAACUCCGUGCCAGCAGCCGC
rnacentral:rRNA from 1 species